rnacentral:rRNA from 1 species
AGAGUUUGAUCAUGGCUCAGAAUCAACGCUGGCGGCGCGCUUAACACAUGCAAGUCGAACGAGAAAGGGGAGCAAUCCCUGAGUAAAGUGGCGUACGGGUGAGUAACACGUGGAUGACCUACCCUCUGGUGGGGAAUAACCCUGGGAAACCGGGGCUAAUACCGCAUAAGUCCGGAAGGAGAAAGGCGCAAGUCGCCGGAGGAGGGGUCCGCGGCCGAUUAGCUAGUUGGUGGGGUAACGGCCCACCAAGGCGAAGAUCGGUAGCCGGCCUGAGAGGGCACACGGCCACACUGGCACUGAAACACGGGCCAGACUCCUACGGGAGGCAGCAGUGGGGAAUCUUGCACAAUGGGGGAAACCCUGAUGCAGCGACGCCGCGUGAGCGAUGAAGCCCUUCGGGGUGUAAAGCUCUUUCGACGGGAACGAUAAUGACGGUACCCGGAGAAGAAGCUGCGGCUAACUACGUGCCAGCAGCCGCGGUAAUACGUAGGCAGCGAGCGUUGUUCGGAGUUACUGGGCGUAAAGAGUAUGUAGGCGGUUGCGCAAGUUUGGUGUGAAAUCUCCCGGCUCAAC